UACGUAGGGACCAAGCGUUGUUCGGGUUUACUGGGCGUAAAGGGCGCGUAGGCGGCAUGACAAGUCACUUGUGAAAUCUCUGGGCUUAACCCAGAACGGCCAAGUGAUACUGUCGCGCUAGAGUGCGGAAGGGGCAAUCGGAAUUCUCGGUGUAGCGGUGAAAUGCGUAGAUAUCGAGAGGAACACCUGAGGUGAAGACGGGUUGCUGGGCCGACACUGACGCUGAGUGCGCGAAAGCCAGGGGAGCAAACGGG
rnacentral:rRNA from 1 species